UAUUCAGCAUUUCACUGUAAGGUCUACUACACCUGUUGUAUUCAGCAUUUCACUGUAAGGUCUACUAAACCUGUUGUAUUCAGCAUUUCACUGUAAGGUCUACUAAACCUGUUGUAUUCAGCAUUUCACUGUAAGGUCUACUACACCUGUUGUAUUCAGCAUUUCACUGUAAGGUCUACUACACCUGUUGUAUUCAGCAUUUCACUGUAAGGUCUACUACACCUGUUGUAUUCAGCAUUUCACUGUAAGGUCUACUACACCUGUUGUAUUCAGCAUUUCACUGUGAGGUCUACUACACCUGUUGUAUUCAGCAUUUCACUGUGAGGUCUACUACACCUGUUGUAUUCAGCAUUUCACUGUAAGGUCUACUACACAUGUUGUAUUCAGCAUUUCACUGUAAGGUCUACUACACCUGUUGUAUUCAGCAUUUCACUGUAAGGUCUACUACACAUGUUGUAUUCAGCAUUUCACUGUAAGGUCUACUACACAUGUUGUAUUCAGCAUUUCACUGUGAGGUCUACUACACAUGUUGUAUUCAGCAUUUCACUGUAAGGUCUACUACACCUGUUGUAUUCAGCAUUUCACUGUAAGGUCUACUACACCUGUUGUAUUCAGCAUUUCACUGUAAGGUCUACUACACCUGUUGUAUUCAGCAUUUCACUGUAAGGUCUACUACACCUGUUGUAUUCAGCAUUUCACUGUAAGGUCUACUACACCUGUUGUAUUCAGCAUUUCACUGUAAGGUCUACUACACCUGUUGUAUUCAGCAUUUCACUGUAAGGUCUACUACACCUGUUGUAUUCAGCAUUUCACUGUAAGGUCUACUACACAUGUUGUAUUCAGCAUUUCACUGUAAGGUCUACUACACCUGUUGUAUUCAGCAUUUCACUGUAAGGUCUACUACACCUGUUGUAUUCAGCAUUUCACUGUAAGGUCUACUACACCUGUUGUAUUCAGCAUUUCACUGUAAGGUCUACUACACCUGUUGUAUUCAGCAUUUCACUGUAAGGUCUACUACACCUGUUGUAUUCAGCAUUUCACUGUAAGGUCUACUACACCUGUUGUAUUCAGCAUUUCACUGUAAGGUCUACUACACCCGUUGUAUUCAGCAUUUCACUGUAAGGUCUACUACACCUGUUGUAUUCAGCAUUUCACUGUAAGGUCUACUACACCUGUUGUAUUCAGCAUUUCACUGUAAGGUCUACUACACCUGUUGUAUUCAGCAUUUCACUGUAAGGUCUACUACACCUGUUGUAUUCAGCAUUUCACUGUGAGGUCUACUACACCUGUUGUAUUCAGCAUUUCACUGUAAGGUCUACUACACCUGUUGUAUUCAGCAUUUCACUGUAAGGUCUACUACACCUGUUGUAUUCAGCAUUUCACUGUAAGGUCUACUACACCUGUUGUAUUCAGCAUUUCACUGUAAGGUCUACUACACCUGUUGUAUUCAGCAUUUCACUGUAAGGUCUACUACACCUGAUGUAUUCAGCAUUUCACUGUAAGGUCUACUACACCUGUU